UCUAGUAUAGCAUCUAUACGGUGAACUGCGAAUGGCUCAUUAAAUCAGUUAUCGUUUAUUUGAUAGUACCUUACUACUUGGAUAACCGUGGUAAUUCUAGAGCUAAUACAUGCUAAAAACCCCGACUUCGGAAGGGGUGUAUUUAUUAGAUAAAAAACCAAUGCCCUUCGGGGCUCCUUGGUGAUUCAUAAUAACUUAACGAAUCGCAUGGCCUUGUGCCGGCGAUGGUUCAUUCAAAUUUCUGCCCUAUCAACUUUCGAUGGUAGGAUAGUGGCCUACCAUGGUUUCAACGGGUAACGGGGAAUUAGGGUUCUAUUCCGGAGAGGGAGCCUGAGAAACGGCUACCACAUCCAAGGAAGGCAGCAGGCGCGCAAAUUACCCAAUCCCGACACGGGGAGGUAGUGACAAUAAAUACUGAUACAGGGCUCUUUUGGGUCUUGUAAUUGGAAUGAGUACAAUUUAAAUCCCUUAACGAGGAACAAUUGGAGGGCAAGUCUGGUGCCAGCAGCCGCGGUAAUUCCAGCUCCAAUAGCGUAUAUUAAAGUUGUUGCAGUUAAAAAGCUCGUAGUUGAACCUUGGGCCUGGCUGGCCGGUCCGCCUCACCGCGUGCACUGGUCCGGCCGGGCCUUUCCUUCUGGGGAGCCGCAUGCCCUUCACUGGGUGUGUCGGGGAACCAGGACUUUUACUUUGAAAAAAUUAGAGUGUUCAAAGCAGGCCUAUGCUCGAAUACAUUAGCAUGGAAUAAUAGAAUAGGACGUGUGGUUCUAUUUUGUUGGUUUCUAGGACCGCCGUAAUGAUUAAUAGGAUAGUCGGGGGCAUCAGUAUUCAAUUGUCAGAGGUGAAAUUCUUGGAUUUAUUGAAGACUAACUACUGCG
rnacentral:rRNA from 1 species